GACGAAUAGGAUAUCCCGACUCCUUAAGGGCCUGGAGCGCAUAAGUUGUGACCUUUUCAUUCCCGUUGUUAUGGAGGGCCACAUCUGCCAGAGCCUGGAGUCUGCGAAGGCCGGGACCCGGUUCUCCGGCCCGCCGUGGGGAGUGUGCAAACCCGAGAGAGCUGGGUUGCAAAUUCGUGAAGAUAUCAGCAGCAUGUUUGGCAGCUGAGUAUUGGAGCAAGGAGCCUGCCACAAGGUUUUGAGAACAGAGUGCCGUUUUAGAGCUGGCAGCAGCAUCUUAGCCCAAAAGAAGGUUAUAUUCCCAGAGGAUGUCAAUCCCAAGGACCAGUUUGGAUUAUGAAAACUUUAACCAGCAUCAACAUUGGGUGUAGAAACGUGAUUGCUUUGUGUAUCAGAGGACAUGCUCAGCAGAUCCAAGAGAUAUAUUUGGCAACUUUUUCUAGAAAAGGCACAUUGGGUAUCAUUCAUUACAUUCUUGAGUUUUUUUGGGUUUUUUUUUUUUUUUUUGAGACAGUCGUGCUGUGUUGCCCAGGCUGGAAUGUGGUGGCACAAUCACAGCUCAUUGCAGCCUCAAUCACCCAGGCCUAAGCAAUCCUCCCGCCUUGUAGCUGGGACUAUAGCUCACAGCACAUCUGGCUAAAAUUUUUUUUUUGUUGAGGCGGAUUCACUGUGUUACCCAGGCUGGUCUCAAGCUCCUGGGCUCAGAUGGUCCUCCUGCCUCAGCUUCCAAAGGCAUAGGCCACGUUGUAGCUUUGUCCCUUGCCAUCCUGCCCAACAGGGAGUGCCGUACCUUUUAAUGAACUGACUUUCAUAAAUUGGUUAUGUUCGUGGGCAAGUUCUUUAAACCGGAAAUUGUAAAUUCUUCCUGAAAUGUUUUUUCAUGCAGUUACCAUGAACUAAUACAAUAAAGGAUGGUCUUGGGUAUCGAUUCUU